ACGGGUGAGGAAUACAUCGGAAUCUACCUUUUCGUGGGGGAUAACGUAGGGAAACUUACGCUAAUACCGCAUACGACCUACGGGUGAAAGUGGGGGACCUCCGGGCCUCACGCGAUUGGAUGAGCCGAUGUCCGAUUAGCUAGUUGGCGGGGUAAUGGCCCACCAAGGCGACGAUCGGUAGCUGGUCUGAGAGGAUGAUCAGCCACACUGGAACUGAGACACGGUCCAGACUCCUACGGGAGGCAGCAGUGGGGAAUAUUGGACAAUGGGCGCAAGCCUGAUCCAGCCAUACCGCGUGGGUGAAGAAGGCCUUCGGGUUGUAAAGCCCUUUUGUUGGGAAAGAAAUCCUGUCGAUUAAUACUCGGUGGGGAUGACGGUACCCAAAGAAUAAGCACCGGCUAACUUCGUGCCAGCAGCCGCGGUAAUACGAAGGGUGCAAGCGUUACUCGGAAUUACUGGGCGUAAAGCGUGCGUAGGUGGUGGUUUAAGUCUGUUGUGAAAGCCCUGGGCUCAACCUGGGAAUUGCAGUGGAUACUGGAUCACUAGAGUGU
rnacentral:rRNA from 1 species